rnacentral:rRNA from 1 species
UCUACGGGUGGCAGCAGUGAGGAAUAUUGGUCAAUGGGCGCGAGCCUGAACCAGCCAAGUAGCGUGAAGGAUGACUGCCCUACGGGUUGUAAACUUCUUUUAUAAAGGAAUAAAGUGAGGCACGUGUGCCUUUUUGUAUGUACUUUAUGAAUAAGGAUCGGCUAACUCUGUGCCAGCAGCCGCGGUAAUACGGAGGAUCCGAGCGUUAUCCGGAUUUAUUGGGUUUAAAGGGAGCGUAGAUGGGUUGUUAAGUCAGUUGUGAAAGUUUGCGGCUCAACCGUAAAAUUGCAAUUGAUACUGGUAGCCUUGAGUACAGUUGAGGGAGGCGGAAUUCGUGGUGUAGCGGUGAAAUGCUUAGAUAUCACGAAGAACUCCGAUUGCGAAGGCAGCUUACUAAACUGCCACUGACAUUGAUGCUCGAAAGUGUGGGUAUCAAACAGGAUUAGAUACCCGAGUAGUC